rnacentral:rRNA from 1 species
CUAUUGGAAACGAUAGCUAAUACCGGAUAACAGCAUUAACUGCAUGGUUGAUGUUUAAAAGUUGGUUUUGCUAACACUAUGAGAUGGCUUUGCGGUGCAUUAGCUAGUUGGUGGGGUAAAGGCCUACCAAGGCGACGAUGCAUAGCCGACCUGAGAGGGUGAUCGGCCACACUGGGACUGAGACACGGCCCAGACUCCUACGGGAGGCAGCAGUAGGGAAUCUUCCGCAAUGGGCGAAAGCCUGACGGAGCAACGCCGCGUGAGUGAAGAAGGAUUUCGGUUCGUAAAGCUCUGUUGUUAGGGAAGAAUGAUUGUGUAGUAACUAUACACAGUAGAGACGGUACCUAACCAGAAAGCCACGGCUAACUACGUG